GCUUGGCAACUUGUUGGGACACCUAUAGAUGAAAGACAUGAAGUAAUCAGUUGGUACAAUGCUCCAAUCUAGCCAACUAAAAAAUCUAGGACUAAGCCCUUAUGUUGCAUUUGGAUAGAAGAUUAAAAUCCUAACAUUUGUACUUUAGUUGUGCAAUGCUUAUUUUAUAUAUAUAUAUAAAGCAUUGCACAUAAAUUGGUAUUCUAUAUAUGAAUAAUAGUAAUAAUAUCAUCUUCUUUGUGCUUUUGGUUGCUUUUCCAAAUACUUUAACUGUGAUAAAAUGUUCAAAAGAUACAACAGAACAUUUUUAUUAUGACUUAAUAAAUCCCAUGAAAAUUAUGUAUAUUGAGAUUUUUAUCAAAAACCAUGAAAAUAGGUUACAACACCCCCAGCCCUUUCACAUGAGAAGAAAGAGGGGAAAAAAUCUUUUUCAAAAAAGUAACAGUUAAGUGUUCUAAACAAACCUUUUCAAGAUCCCGGUUUUGG
rnacentral:misc_RNA from 1 species